rnacentral:hammerhead_ribozyme from 1 species
AUCCAGAUGACCAGUCCCAAAUAGGACGAAACGCGCGUCCUGGAU